UACGGAGGAUGCGAGCGUUAUCCGGAUUUAUUGGGUUUAAAGGGUGCGUAGGCGGCCUGCCAAGUCAACGGUAAAACUGCGGGGCUCAACCCCGUACAGCCGUUGAAACUGCCGGGCUCGAGUGGGCGAGAAGUAUGCGGAAUGCGUGGUGUAGCGGUGAAAUGCAUAGAUAUCACGCAGAACCCCGAUUGCGAAGGCAGCAUACCGGCGCCCGACUGACGCUGAGGCACGAAAGUGCGGGGAUCAAACAGG
rnacentral:rRNA from 1 species